AUGGAUGAGGAUGACAAUGACGAUGACGCUGAACAGUAUGUCUAUACUGGCGCCUCCUCAGGGUUUGAGCGUCAUGAGUCGGUGCCUGUAUUACCGUCUCAACAUAUUAUGGACGACCUUCUGGUAGUAAAGAAGUCUAGGAAGAGAGCGAGGAAAGGCAAAAAAGCUGAUUCUAUGAUCCAGCAGCCUAGACUUCAGGACCGUAUAGAUAUCCCCAAUGCGGAUAAAUGGCAUAUCCCCGGUCGAGCAAUCCUACCUGCAACAGCGCUACGGGCAAGAUUCGGUGAUCUAAGGAGACUUCAUGAUGAUGUGCUGCGGGUAGAGAAAGGCCUCAUCGCCUCGAAAGAUCCAGGAUACCAACUCUACGUGGUUAACGUUCCGCAACAAAUGUCGUACGUCGACAGCUUCCCCGCGGAUAAGUUCAUCCUCCGAUUCGAUUACAUAUUCGACAUGUUUCACGUGAAGAAGCUGGAUUUUACGUUUGUCCGCCUUUAUGCCUUGCACAUGAACUACAUCAUUGGGGUUGAGCAGAUACAUCAUAUCUGUGUCGCUGACCCGUACUAA
rnacentral:rRNA from 1 species